rnacentral:rRNA from 1 species
ACGCCUUAUACAUGCAAGUCGAACGAAGUAGCAAUACUUAGUGGCAGACGGGUGAGUAACAUGUAGGUAUCUUCCCUUUGGUGAGGAAUAACACGAGGAAACUUGUGCUAAUACCUCAUAAGUCUUUACGGAGAAAGCUUUACGCGCCGAAGGAUGAGCCUGCACUUGAUUAGUUAGUUGGUGGGGUAAUGGCCUACCAAGACUUUGAUCUAUAGCUGAUCUGAGAGGAUGAUCAGCCACAUUGGGACUGAGACACGGCCCAAACUCCUACGGGAGGCAGCAGUAGGGAAUAUUGCACAAUGGAGGAAACUCUGAUGCAGCGAUGCCGCGUGAGUGAAGAAGGCCUUUGGGUUGUAAAGCUCUUUCGUCGGGGAAGAAAAUGACUGUACCCGAAUAAGAAGGUCCGGCUAACUUCGUGCCAGCAGCCGCGGUAAUACGAAGGGACCUAGCGUAGUUCGGAAUUACUGGGCUUAAAGAGUUCGUAGGUGGUUAAAAAAGUUGGUGGUGAAAUCCCAGAGCUUAACUCUGGAACUGCCAUCAAAACUUUUUAGCUAGAGUGUGAUAGAGGAAAGCAGAAUUUCUAGUGUAGAGGUGAAAUUCGUAGAUAUUAGAAAGAAUACCAAUUGCGAAGGCAGCUUUCUGGAUCAUUACUGACGCUGAGGAACGAAAGCAUGGGUAGCGAAGAGGAUUAGAUACCCUCGUAGUCCAUGCCGUAAACGAUGUGUGUUAGACGUUGGAAAUUUAUUUUCAGUGUCGCAGCGAAAGCAUUAAACACACCGCCUGGGGAGUACG